rnacentral:rRNA from 1 species
CCUACGGGAGGCAGCAGUGAGGAAUAUUGGUCAAUGGACGCAAGUCUGAACCAGCCAUGCCGCGUGCAGGAAGACGGCUCUAUGAGUUGUAAACUGCUUUUGUACGAGGGUAAACGCAGAUACGCGUCUCUGUCUGAAAGUAUCGUACGAAUAAGGAUCGGCUAACUCCGUGCCAGCAGCCGCGGUAAUACGGAGGAUUCAAGCGUUAUCCGGAUUUAUUGGGUUUAAAGGGUGCGUAGGCGGUCUGAUAAGUUAGAGGUGAAAGCCCGAGGCUCAACUUCGGAAUUGCCUCUGAUACUGGUCGGCUAGAGAGUAGUUGCGGUAGGCGGAAUGUAUGGUGUAGCGGUGAAAUGCUUAGAGAUCACACAGAACACCGAUUGCGAAGGCAGCUUACCAAGCUAUGUCUGACGUUGAGGCACGAAAGCGUGGGGAGCAAACAGGAUUAGAUACCCGGGUAGUC